UCCUAAGGGUGCAAGCGUUAAUCGGAAUUACUGGGCGUAAAGCGCGCGUAGGUGGUUCGUUAAGUUGAAUGUGAAAGCCCCGGGCUCAACCUGGGAACUGCAUCCAAAACUGGCGAGCUAGAGUAUGGCAGAGGGUGGUGGAAUUUCCUGUGUAGCGGUGAAAUGCGUAGAUAUAGGAAGGAACACCAGUGGCGAAGGCGACCACCUGGGCUAAUACUGACACUGAGGUGCGCAAGCGGGGGGAGCACACAGGAGUCGAUAACCCUGUAGUCC
rnacentral:rRNA from 1 species